GGCGGUUUAGCUCAACAGCAUAAGCGCCUGCCUUGCAAGCAGGAAAUUGUGAGUUCAAUCCCCAGUACCGAUA
rfam:Cavia porcellus supercont2_20 genomic scaffold, whole genome shotgun sequence.